CCGGGGAUCAAACUCAGGACCUUGUGCUUGCGAGGCAGGUGGGUGCCACUGAGCCAAAGCCCCGGCCCAUGAGAAGGCCAUCGGAGGGCACAGAGCUGUUUUUGCCAGGCCGUCCAUCCAGGACAGGUGCAAGAGAGCAGAGCAGGGAUGGUCUUGAGAAGCCCAUUCAUUCCUCCCCAGACUCUCAAGACACAAACAACAUUCUACCAUUUAAACAUGUGCGCAUAACUAGGACAGCAAUCCAGUGAUGAAAAUAAAGUGGGAGACUGCACAGUGACAAAGAGGAGCAGAAUAAGCACUUAGGCUUCAGGGUCAGUAAGGGCCGAAAAGAAGAAGCACUGUGAGGUACAACUCCACAUGAUCGCUAUUUUGGAUACCAUUUUGACUUUCAUUUCCUAGGGAAAUAAAAUAAUAAAUACACCACACCAGAUUCCCUAUACUUUACCAGAAUUUUGGUUACUCCUGUCUUCUACAAAAGAACCUAGACUUCAUAAUAAAAAACGUGAUGUGAGUUCACCACUACUGUUAGAAAUCUCCCACCACUUCCAUAAUCUCUAUUUUCAGUAUCUGAAAAUAGAUGCUUUGCACUUCAACUCAUCCAAAGAAAACUCAAACUUCCUCUGUGACCUACAGUUGAUAACAUUACAGGGAUUCUUCCCACUAAAUCAUUUACUCUAAACAUUUUCUGACCUGGGGUUCAUUCACUUUAGGAAGUGAAGUAGCAGAACACUCAAGUUAGGCUACUGGGAGACAGGAGUACUGGCAGGGUCUGGUAAUGAAUCGCAGCUGAAGUUCCAGCUUAUUCUGUCCCUGUCCCCCACCAGCAGAGCCCUGCACAGAAACUGUCACUGAUUCCUCCCCUAGCUUAUGCAAAAUGACCUCAGGCUCGUUUCUAAGAAAAUACUUUCCAUGGUGUGACCUACAAAUGCAGCCAGGAUUGCACAUUCCCUCCCCAUGCUCUUGUCCAGGGCCGUCCUCACUGUUUCUGGGGAGGAGGGGAGGGAUCCAUGGGAACAGAGCAGCAGGAGAGGCAACAGCGCUGAGGUUUGUAACAGCACACAGCAGCCAAGGCACUUGCCUGGCUGACGAAGGAUCACCCACGUCAGGCGUAAUGCACAUGACCACACCCUUUGGUACCUGGAGGGUGGGAACUAAAGAAUCCUGGUGUUUUGUUUACCUGUGAAAUGGGGACACAUCACCAUGUAGGUACUAAAGUCCGUGUUUCUUACGUCUAGUGGCAGUAAUCACAACACCCUAAAAAACAAGCAAAAUUUUCUCUCACUUUUUCCUACCAACUUUCUCAGCAAAUUUUGGGGGCAGGGGAGUUACCUAAAGAUUUUUAGUAAUUUUUAUUAUUUGAUAGUCAUUGUAGUUUCUAAUUCUGAAUAUGGGGAGAUAUCCAUUAACUGGAGCAUCAUUUGGAAAUAAUUUUUAUAACCUUUAGUGAAUAUUGGUUGAAGUAAUGAACUUUAAAAAACCAAGCCUCAGGAUGACUCAAGCCUGUAGCCCACACUCGGAGCGAAGUGGCUAUCAUUAUAACUUAUGCUGCAAGAGGAAGAGCAAUUUGAAAGUUCUGAGGUUUCAGAGGGACAGGCAGAGCAAAUUAGAGUCAAUUACAGAGGGGGGAAAAAACCAGGCAGCUUGCAAAUGUUUGUGAAAUGUAUUUUUAUUUGUCUUGGGGCAAGAGGUCAAUUUUCUACAGUGUCUCUUUCCACAUUCAUUUAUUUUCAAAGAUCAUUUUGGAAACGUUAAUGUCUUUGUGUUUGCAGAUAAGACAGAAUAAAAGAUUCAAGUAUACUGUAAUUAAAAGCAUCUCCUGAAAUGUAUGUCAGCCACAUUCUAAUAUCUAGAAAACAAAUGCUUUAUUCUGACAAGCCAAACCAAACUGUUCUCAGAGCAAAGCGCAUAUAGAGGUCAACGAAGGCACAAAAAGUCUGCCUUUCCAGGACCUGUGAACUCACACACCUAAAUUAAUACACUGAAGGGGAUUAUUUCUGCUGAACAAGAAUAGUAAGUCAGUCUUUGGAUUAACGGCUACCUGGCUAAAAUCAAAAUGUCAGCAGAAAUAUUUAAACUCUGGCUCCAGAUCUUACUUCACUUUACAACACAGGCACGGAUGGAUCCCACUCCGCUGGUGUGGGGUCUGUGCCCCAUCGGGUCUGGGAUGGACGGGCGUCACCGGCUGGUCCCUGCCAACCUCAGCCCAAAGAUCAGAGGUGUGUUAAAAUUCUACCUCCUGGAAGCCACAGAACCUGACGCGAAACUGCAUUCGCCGUCAGAAAGCGUUUUAAAGGUCCACGAGAGACUGUGCCAAUGAAAACAAGUGUUUACAAUGUGGCCCUUUCGGAAGGACCCCAAGCAAAGGUGCACCUGUUCUCACUCUGUACUUCGAAAAGGAGCUGGAGAAGAGAUCUCCUUGGUCCAGACAGUGAUUUAGAAAAUGCCUGAAUCACCAAUCUCUUCAGACUUGAGAAAAUUUACACACACAUUUGAAGGGCUGGCUUCUUUUAGAAAGGGGAAGGAUGACCUGGAACCUGGCCUGGCGUCACUGGUCAGGGCUGAGUGGCAGAGGGUGCGAGCCCCCGCCGGGCACUGUUCCCACCACACCCUCCAGCCUGGGGCCUGGACGGCUUUGCUCGUGCCAGGGUUUCAGCCACACUGGACUCUGGUGCCACAAACACCAAUGAGUCGCCUAAUGGGUCUCCACAGAGAUUCUCCUGAUUCCCAGAAGACGCGGAGGGCCUCUUCAAGGCCAUUCAUUGGUAAGCAUGUGGCAGAGCAGGGACAGAGGUGGGAAGGGAAGCUCCACUGCAGCACGUUCUAACCAAGAACCCCAUGCUCCUAGUCCCUCUCUGAGGCUGAUACAGGGAAACAUAAAAGGGAGGCUAAGUUAAGCGAAUAUGCCUGCAGCUGCCUGCAAGCGAACCUUCAGCUCUCAGAAGCAAGCCUACUCCAGAAUGUAUCGGGGCUGACUGACACUCAGAAAAGAUGGACCGAGAGAGACAAGAGCCACGUGAGAUGACAUCAUUUAAAUCCUGGGGCCAGUGGAUCUCAAGGCCAGCUCACCUCUGCGGUCCCUCCUGUCAACCCUAAAAGCCAGGGAGCUUAGGUUUCUGAAAGCAUUUGUGACUGCAGACAUCAAAACACAGUCUACCACACUCAGUGGAUGUCAAAUGAACAGUCCACCUGGGUGGCAUGAAUGCUAGUGAUUAUGCAGCACUCUAAACACUGAUCUUGGAAGUUUCAAAGGAGCAGAUCUUACUUUUUGUCAGAUAUCUAAUAUGCCAGGAACAUUUGCUACUUUCGAAAGUCUUUCAGUACAUACAUCCUGUGGCAAGGGCACCUUAAAUGAUCGCGCCCAAGAGGUCUGUCGGAGGGGAGCAUGCCACCCUCUGGCACUGGAACAUGUGCCCACAGCAGUGCUGGCUGGGGCCUUAACUCUUACAACCGUUGCAGGGUCUGGCUGCGGAGAACACGGGAUGGAGAUUUUAUGUCACACAGCUGUAGCCCUGGCGUCCCAGAGCGCCACAUCUGUUCAAACACUGAGGCGGGACGGCCAUGCACUUAGAAAGGCAAUCACUCGAACGAAUCAGUAAUAAAACCUGUGCGACCGACGGAGAAGGGUUGAGCACACUAGGUCAACACUUUAAAAAAGGAUUCAGAAGACUCUGUGGUCAGGACGUACAGUAAGUUUCCCGGAGGGCAGCGCUAACUCCUGGUUCUCUGUGCUUGCACUUCUGUUGCUCUCUCCGUGCAGAGAGCAGAAGGGCAGCUGUUCCCUGACCAGGAUCUGUCCUGAGAGAACCAUGUGAGGAAGGUCACCACCUUGCGGCCUGUGCAGCUCUGAGUGAUGAACUGUCCGAGUUUUUACCUCCUUCCCUUCCAGAGGAUGACAACAGUGGAAAGGAGAGAGAGGAAUAAAGAAGAAAAAUAACCACAAUGAGGACAACUGCAAAGCAGAUAGCAGCAGCAGAGGAGAGAAUGUCAAAGAAUCUUUAAAAGGCAGAAAAUAAGUAGCUUAUUAACCAACAGAAGAGGAGAAGCGGCUCCCAGCUAAAUGCUCGAGGCCACCUGAGGCCACUGACUUGGGCCGAUCCACUGCUGUGGUGAAGGCAGAGCACAGGGUGGGAGUGGCCCACUGCUAAGCACGGAGAUGGGGCUGAGCCCGAGAGACCCAGGCCCAGGGCGGACUGCCCCGGGCUGUGGCUGGGCACAGGGGUAAAUGAAGUCUGCCCUCCAGCCCUGGGCCUGCGCCUAACCACACCCUGCUCUGCUGCCUCACACUGUGGCCUGGGCCACUCCCUCGGGACAACGAGGAACUCUGCCCUCAGGCUCUACACUGAGGCAGCUGCUGCCCAGCCGCCUUCUCAGCAGAGCCCAGCGGACACCAGUGCCCUGUGUCUUCCAGAGCAUCAUUCCGUGUGCAGCCUGCGUGGACAGCAGUGCCACCAGGCAGCCGAGGAGCCUUGAGCAGGCGAGAGGUGCAGGCAGCUGCUAUUUUCGGUGAUGUUUAACCCUGCAAUCCUAAAUCACUGAAUUCAAUACUUCACAAAGUGCUAAAGAUAUCUGAGCCACAGCAAGGUCAGUGAUGUUAUUUCAACCAAAAGCUCUGUAUUCCUUUAACUGAAAAGGAGGAUGAGUGGAGAAGAGAAGAGAUGCAGGCAAGGUGCAGGUGAGCUACAGCAUCAUCCGUCAAGGCACAAAGCCAAGAGAUGAUGCCUAAAGUCGGCAGGCUCAUAAAUAACAGCACACACAUCAUCCAGAAGCACGAAGCAAGCACCAGGGCAAACUUCGCCAAUCUGCAUGAACUAAUAAGGAAAGUGCUCUGAGAAACAGUGCAGAGUGAAAAAGCCAGAUAGAGACGUGUCUAUGUGCUUCUGUUGUGGGCACUGAGGACUGAACUCAGGGCCUCACACGUGCUGAGCAUGUGCCCUGCCCACUACACACCCUGCACUACCUUUGUUUUGCUUUGUUUUACAGAGGUUACACAUGCAGGCCCUUCUCAAUGAAACGCACCCAAAGCCCAGACAAAGCUGAGGAGUGGGCUUGGGGGUGAGGCUCACCUGUCAGUGAACACUUGAUCACAUCUGUUCCACACUGUUUAUCAAUGAUGUUUACCACACCAUCGUUCAUAACAACGGCAGAGAGAGAAACCAAAGCGCACGGGAGCCUCUGACACGGGCGCAACACGGCUAGCUGUACGGUGACAGUCUCCAAACCACGCGCCUGCUCUCUGGAGGAGAACACCCUACGGAGAACAUCAUUGCUCUUCAGAAGUAACCACAGUCAAGAGAGCUCAUAGUUACUUAUGACGAUAAAUGUGCUCCAUUCUACAGGGCAGGGGGGGCCUCUUCUAAAAAAUUUCUUUCAAGCUCGAGGGCACACAGCGCUGAAGUUGAGUCUGCCUGUGUUUAUUAUGGGUUGUGAAGUUAUAGAUUUCAAAUGCCCCACUUUGCAGCUAUUCAGAUGUAGAAGUACCACGACUGCUAAAGAUUAAGUGGACAGAAACGAAUCUCAUGACAUACACAAUGGAGAUUUGGCAAUGAAAGCUGCUUUCCCUUGUCACUGUGAAGCCAGCCAGUCAGCAGCUUCUAGAAAGAAUGAACUGUCAAGUUUGCUCGCUUUAUAGCAAUGGCCCUACUGUUCUGUUUUUGGACAUUAGCAAAUUCAUGAUUAUCAGCAAAACACUACAAUGAGCCACAGAGGAGGAGGGAAAAAAACCCCUGUUUCCAUGAGUCCUAGUUUCAGGCACCCCAACCUCCUACACCUCAGAGAGGGGAGCUCGUGAAGCACGAGGCUUCCCUGGUCGGUGGCUGCACCUGGGGUCUGGCGUCCACCCCAGCAGACUCAGGCAGGACUGGACACAUCACCUGCCUCGCUCCUCUUACACCAGCAAAUACUAACAGAUGGUAAGGUGGAAACGGGCACAAGGGAGGUCGGCGGGAAGGAAAACAGCAGCUUCUCUCCGAUGAGGAGCCACGCACGGAGUGCACCCUGCCCAGAAAGCAGCACGCUGAGUGCGCAGUACACUAGCGUGGCACAGGACGUGAUGUCUCGCUUCGGACUGACAGUCAAUAGAAAGUUUCUUUGCUGUAACAGCCACCCUUCUUCCAAAUAAUUUUUAAAGUUCACCUGUUUGUAAAUAAUGAUAAUAAAGGGUUGUAACUGUUAAUGGGCUUAGGGUUUGGAGUCUCCUCAAAUAUGCUGAAACCCUAACCUGCAAUGUGACCGUACCUGGAGAGGGAGCCUUUAGGAGGUAAUCAGGAUUAAAUGAAGCUGUGAGGGUGGGGCGCUUAUCCAAUGGGAUUAGUGUCCUUAUAAGAGGAGACACUGUAGAGCUUGGUCCUUCACCCCUCUCCCCAUACCCUACGUAGGGACAAACCGUACCAUGUGAGGGGCUGUGCAAGCCUAACCAGAAGGUCCCCAUUUGCAAGCCAGAAAGAGAGCCCUUACCAGAAUCUUGGUCUUGGGCUUUCCAGUCCCCAGAACGGUGAGAGAACCAACAUGGUCUAAGCCACCCAGGCCAUGGUGUUUCAUUUAGGCACCCCAAGCCGGCUCUAACUUCGCAGUGCACAGGGCAGACAUCACCCCGACCCACACUGCUGGUUAUACAAGACGUUAACUUCUGCAUGAAGAGCAUAUGGUGGUUCUAUGUUAUUUUUAGACACCCGAAGUUAUUUCAAAAUGAAAAAUAAAAACAAAAUGGUAUUUUCAGCACAGUACAUACACCAUCGCUUCUCUCCCUAGUAACGUGCACUGUGCUUACUGAAGCUGACAACUUGGCCUUGGCUCAAUUUGCAGUUUUUGUGCCAUAUAA